CCCACGUCUAGAAUUGCAAGGUUGAAUUUAUUAUUCCCACAAACAAAACUUGACAACAUGCACGGCAGGUUGCCCAGGUUUCAACAUUUUUGCAUUAUUUCAUAUUCCUGAGAUAUGAAUGAAACAAUCAAACUGUGUGUUCACCCACUCACCCCACAAAAAAAGGGAACAAACUCAGGCAUUUUUAUCGGUUCUUUAUUAAAAUCAUCGUUUUUUGUCGUGUAUUUCUGUCCUGCUGGCAGCGCAGCACGUUAUUGUCAUCGCCCCCACUGAAGCCGAAUGGCAGCAGCAUCUAACUUGUGUGUGUGUGUGUGUGUGUGUUUGUGCACUGUGAAUUUGACAGUGCGUGCAUGAGUCUGUGUGUGAGCUGCUGACAAUAAAGUGUAGCACGACUAGCCAUCGUCACCGUACAGUCAAUACAGCAGUAUUAACACAAGGCCUUGAGACAUCGUUCACAGGGUCCGUGUUUCCACUGCAGGCUGAAACCGGGCUCACCAGGGCUCAGGCCGGGAAAGGCUCCUCGUCAAACUGAACGCAGCGGUAGGCGGUUUAUGCGCCUUGGACCACAGCGACUCACAUUGAUGCAUUACAUGCAUCGUAAGGUGGUCGUGUUUCCACGUUGUACCCGAUGAUGGGUGCAUGGUCUCGGUCUGCUGUCCACUGGGGAGUAAAAGUGGGAGGAGGUUUGAAGAUGUGAUCAUCAAAGGGAAGCCCUGGUUCAGUCAUGUUUGGCCUCAGUGGAAACCACACAUUCAAGCAGAUUCAUCCCUGCCCCUGACAUGUGUCAUAUUAGCCUUACCAGAUUUGUAAAAUGAAGAUAGAAACAGUGUGUCUGUCAUGUACAAUAUGUUCUUUUUCUUUUGAUUUUACAGCACAGCAGCUUGGCAGAUACAACACAUGAACCAUGUAUAUCAAAGUCCUUCUGGACACUGUAUAGGUUGGCUGGCAGGGGUAGCUGUGCGUGUUUUUGUAUAGUAAUUUAGCUUCUAGGCGAUGCAAAAGAAGCCUGUGCUGCUCACUGCAUUGUGUGUCAAAGAGGUCACCUCACUCUACACUGCGGUAUAAACUCCAGGGUCCGAUGUGAACUGGAAACGGGGUGGAGAACGCGACCCCUUCAUAAGUGAGAGUUGUGGUAAAAGCUGCUGUAUCCAUAAAAGGUUUAAUUGUUGUUAAUCUUCAGCCCAAACCAAAAAAUAAAGGCCCCUCUGGGUAGACAAACACGCGCCACCACUGCUACAGUGACACGGUCAUAAGACACUCGCGCACCCCUCCACGUCGUCACUUUGUUGAAAUCUUAGCGUUAGCUACAGUAGGUAGCUAAUGGAGGCGAAUGGUUGGUCUUAAGUGAGCAAAAACACAGUUAUGUACUGGUCUCUGUUUUCGCUUGGGGGUGGAAAGCUGGGCAGGAGGUUCGAGACAAGGAAAGACGGACAAAGAGACAUAUUCAUUGAGAUAAUACUGAAAAUUUAGUAGACAAACUUAUAUAACAUAGAUCUACCUUGAAAUAUACUAUCAUAUAUAUUUAGAUAUUCUAUCUUUUUUUUUUAAUGAAAUAAAUAUAUCCAUAGAUACUCUUCUUUUUUCAAAACAGACCGACUUUACAAUUGCAGAGACGCAACAACACAAUGGAUAGACGUGAGGAAAAAGAGGCUCUGCGCUCACACCGCUAGCAGCUGCUGGUGCUCGACUGGUGCUACGCGCGCUAACUGGCUAGCUAGCAAGCAAACGUCUAAUCAACGCUGUUACGGCUUUCAUUGAAAGUUGUAUAAGCUGUUGAUUGACAAUUGUGAUAAGCAACGCAAUGAAAUGCUUAAAGUUGUUUAAGAAAGUUGUCUAGAAUUUGCCUGUUGAUUGAAUAUGAGGGAAUAUGUGUUUUGACACGUAACUGUCAUAUCCAAUGGUCAUGUGAUGAGAAACAUCAUCUCCAAAAUAUUAUGAUGAGAAACGACAAUUUUCUGUAACACUACCCACCGCCACACACACACACGCACAUAUCUAUAUAUAUAUAUUUGAUUAAUACAUAUAUAGAUUUUUUUCUGAAAGAAAGGCAGACUUUGUACAACACGUUUACGUUUAAAACUCAAUUUCUCUUUUAGUUUUUCUCAGCUGAAGUAAAUCGUGGCUCAGAUGCAGAUUCAGGCAAACAAGAGCUGACGAGACCCAUGUGUGGAUGGAGGCGUGGCGACUCAUCACUAAGCCCCACUGAUGGGUCCUGAUGAUCAUCUCCAUGUUGAUGGAUGUAAGUAGCUCUAGCUAAGUGCUCGACAUCGGACUGUAACUGCUGGUGUCAGCUCGGUUAUGGAUUAAAAAGCUAUAGCUCUUGAUUGAACAUUUACAAGGUGAGAAAUACCCCCAAAAAAUAGAAAUCUCACAGGAGGCGCAACCUUGUCUACCAGGCACCAUCUCUUACAUCCUCCUUCAGAACGUCGCUCAUCUGCUAGCUGGCCUCCAACAUUAGCAUAGUCUCUUUGACAUCAAAACGGUACUGGCACCAGAUUGAAUUCUUCACCGAUCCAAUUCCGCCCUGUCCGGUUAUACUGUCUUGAGGGUAAACCCAAGACAUGUUGGGUAAAGUAAAUAACUUCAUAUUCAUACUUUAUACAAAAGGUAUGGCAGGAAAAAAAUCUGUGAAGGUCUAAAAAUAUGUAUUUCCCUGCAAUCUUUCGCCUUCUCUCACCAGAACUGUGUAGCACCACCAUGUUAGAGACACAUCCUCUACUCACACCUGGGUUGCUUGGUUUCUCCGAUGUGAUCUAGUCCUGGCACUAAUUGGACGACUUGCAUGAGGAAACCAACAAAACUCAAAACUGUAACCAAUUCCAGAUCUAAUUCGUCACCAACCCAAUUAGACGAUAUAAAUGCUAAAUUAGCAUACCGUUAUGUGAAAUGAACCAGAGUGAUUUCAUUGUCCAUCUCUCAAACAGACACAAGCACAAACCAUCAAAAGUGCUACAAAUUCCACACUCAAAGUGUCUGAGUUGUUGUUGCAGCGCACUUGAUUGUGGCUGACUUUACAUUCGAUCAAAUACAGGGAAAAGAAAAUGAAUAGCUUAGCUUUCCAUUGACGCAGUUAGGUAGUUGAGAGAAGGUUUCGUGUGCAGCUUGAGUAGUAUGGCACAGUGUUUACAUUGUAUUAGACGUAAUACAUGUCUUGAUAUAUAGUACACAAUUAAUACCAACAACAACUACAACACAGAAGUAAAAAGAAAGGUUUUUGCAUGAACAGAGGGUGAAUAAUGUUUUGCUCAAAAAAGAGAAGAUGUAUUGGAUAGUGUGGAUGCCCUUUCAUGUCCGUGUGUGUGUUUGUGUAUGUGCGUAUUUGAAUGUGCACAUAUUUGAGAGAUGAUGGAAUACUCUGCAAGAUAAAAGUAAAGACAGCAGCUAAGGUUGUACAGAUUGAUUUGAGCUCUACUUAAGUUUGGCACUCAGCUUUUCAUUAAGCCAGUAGAAUAUCAGUCACAGUCGACUUACCCUGUUGUCAAGAAUACAAACACAGAAAAGCACAGACACAAACCAACCACAUCGAGGAGAGGAGCAGAGAGGGCAGGACAGCAGAAGAGAAGACAAGAGAGACAAAGACACAGCCACUUAAAUUAGGUUACGAAGGAGGUAAAGAAGAUCGAGAACGAGAAAGAGAACGUAAAUAAGGGGGCAAGGGAGCGAAAGAAGUGGAGUAGAAAAAAAGAGAAGACAACAGGAGAGGGUGCAUGGAUCACACAGGAGACAAGGUACUCAUCAGCCUCCUCUCCCUGUCAACAUGAUGGUUUUCAUCAUACACAAAAAAGGGGCCUUGGGUGGGCGUCACAGUUCUGCGGGGAUGUAAACAGUUUGUUAAGGAAAAAUGACAAUAGGGGAAAGCCAUUUCUUAAGGGAAAAAUAUAAGAACACUGUUCUGCGAUAAAGGCUUCUGAGAGCAGCAGGCAUACAGUACUACAAAGUUCCUGAGCCCUCAGUGAGCAAGUACUGCUCGGCUUCAACCUCCAAAGCCCUUUACGUUCGGAGCAAAGGAGUCCUCUUCAGUUGUCCCACUCUUGCAGUCUGCUUUUAGUGUAAUGGAUAAUAACCCUGUUCGGGAUGCAAGUUGCUGCUGUGGUUUGUAGUCAUUCACAUACUGAGAGGGAUGAAAGGAAAUAACAGCAAGCACACCAUUGCUUCUGUUUCCCUUUGACCUAGCCCAUAGGGUUUGUUUGGCUUUAUGGUUUGUUUGUUUGUGCAGAACUUUAGGAAAAGGCUCAGUGCGUUUACUCUACUGACUCAGCCCUGCAGAGCGUCCUUAUGACUUUUGAUACCUUCAGACCUCGCUCUCCACGCUGGAGAAAUGGGCCGAACCCCUUCUUGAGCAAAGGCUCGUGGCUUUGAGGGGUAAGUGAGGAGACUGAGGGAACCUCUGCGGUUGGGGCACAGAGCGCAACCUCUGGUACUGUAGUUUAGCACUUGCUGAAGCCAUGGAGGAGGGCUGCGGUGCCCCAGGAGUGGAUGAGACCACAGAGGGGGAGGAUACAGAGGAGGAGGAGGUAGGUGGAGGAACAUGGCUGGGAUGAGACAAAGAUGGAGGAGCUGGAAGGGCAGGGAGUUGGGGCGGCAAGCUUGCUAUGAGGCUCGGGGGUGGGGAUGAUUGCCGUCCUCGAUCUCUAUCGGUUCUUUGUGUUCGCUGCUGUAUACUGAGGUUUGACUGGCUGCCCGAUUUGGGUGGAUUCUGUGAGCGCUCGGGUUUGGAGGAGGAUGAGGAGUCAUGUUUUGGCUUCAGUGGACCUCGGUGGUACAGCUCUUCCUGGCUUCGGGAGCUUUCGCGGGGCCACUUGGAGGGGUGGGGUUGUGAACGGUGUCGCGGAGAAUGACACGAGGAACAAGCGGCACGACCUUUCCCCUUGUUCUUUGAUUUCCGUUUACUCUUCUUUUCAUCCUGUAUGUGGAGUUUGUCGACUGACCAGUAUCGUCGAGGAGGUGGCGGCGUAAGUGGAGUGGGAGGCCAGCGUGAUCCUGAUCCCCACACUCUCUUUCUUGCAUCCCCUCCAACGCCGUCACCUCCUCCUCCAACAGACCCCCAUCCACUUUCUGCUGUCCCCCACCUGUCCCCCCGCUCCAGGAACAGGUCAUCUCUACUGGUGAUGCUGCCGGUUUUUUCCCUUGAAGGGUAGGUGCUGAAAAACCAACCACCCCCACCGAUCCCUCCUACGGACCUGCCUUCAUGAUCCUCCCAAUACCUCUCAAACUUCCCAAACUCUCCCGAGGAGCCAUCAUCAUCAGAAUAUAUCCCAACAACCUUAUCACGUUCCCGCUCUUCAUCUGACAUAGUCCUUACUCCUCCACGCCUCUUUCCAUGGUCUGCUUUUCUCCUCUCCAUCUCAGAAUCUUUCUUCCUCACCCUCUGCUCCGGACUCCCACUCGUGGAAAGACAGCCCCUCCUUGGAGUGCAUCUGAGGUCUUCCAUCCCGCCCAGCAAUGGCCUCCUCUCUCUCUCUACUGCUACAGUUCCCCGCUCUGAACUUU
ensembl:lncRNA